rnacentral:lncRNA from 1 species
UUCAAUUUUUGUUUGCUGAGAAGUCUGUAUUUUGUUUUUAUUUUUGAAAGAUAUUUUUGGUAAGUAAGGAAUUCUAGGUUAGUGCAGUUAUUUUCUUUCAACCUUUUGAAGAUGUCAUUGGUUUCUGUUGCUUCUGUUGAGAAGUCAUCUGUCAGCCCCAUUGCUGCUCUCAACAUUUUCUCUUUGCAUUGAGUUUUAGCAGUUAUAUUCUGAUGUGCCUAGCUGUAGCUUUUAAAGUAUUUUUCCUGCUUGUGCUUGUUCAUAGCACAUCUUGAAACUGUGACAUGAUAUCUUUCAUCACAGCAUUCACCCUCUUCUCUCUCAUCUUGUUCAGGACUCUAAUGAUAAGUGUUAGACCUUUUCACUAUAUCUCUAAGACCCUUCUUGGUAUUUUUCCAUUCUUUUGGUUCUUUGUGAUUCAGCCUGGAUAUUUUCUACUGACUCGUCUUCUCCAUUAAUCUUGCCC